rnacentral:rRNA from 1 species
AGAGUUUGAUCAUGGCUCAGAUUGAACGCUGGCGGCAGGCUUAACACAUGCAAGUCGAGCGGAGAUGAGGUGCUUGCACCUUAUCUUAGCGGCGGACGGGUGAGUAAUGCUUAGGAAUCUGCCUAUUAGUGGGGGACAACAUUCCGAAAGGAAUGCUAAUACCGCAUACGUCCUACGGGAGAAAACAGGGGAUCUUCGGACCUUGCGCUAAUAGAUGAGCCUAAGUCGGAUUAGCUAGUUGGUGGGGUAAAGGCCUACCAAGGCGACGAUCUGUAGCGGGUCUGAGAGGAUGAUCCGCCACACUGGGACUGAGACACGGCCCAGACUCCUAUGGGAGGCAGCAGUGGGGAAUAUUGGACAAUGGGGGGAACCCUGAUCCAGCCAUGGCCGCGUGUGUGAAGAAGGCCUUAUGGUUGUAAAGCACUUUAAGCGAGGAGGAGGCUACUGAGACUAAUACUCUUGGAUAGUGGACGUUACUCGCAGAAUAAGCACCGGCUAACUCUGUGCCAGCAGCCGCGGUAAUACAGAGGGUGCGAGCGUUAAUCGGAUUUACUGGGCGUAAAGCGUGCGUAGGCGGCUUUUUAAGUCGGAUGUGAAAUCCCCGAGCUUAACUUGGGAAUUGCAUUCGAUACUGGGAAGCUAGAGUAUGGGAGAGGAUGGUAGAAUUCCAGGUGUAGCGGUGAAAUGCGUAGAGAUCUGGAGGAAUACCGAUGGCGAAGGCAGCCAUCUGGCCUAAUACUGACGCUGAGGUACGAAAGCAUGGGGAGCAAACAGGAUUAGAUACCCUGGUAGUCCAUGCC